UUUUUUUUAAAGGUCAGAAUGGUUGCAUGUCUCUAUCACGUAGUUGAUGAUGAUCUAAAUGACUUGCCCUUCAUGUCAGAUGGGACCACUUCAGAGCAUCAAACAUCUGUGGUCCGUGAAGCAGAGCCCCAGAAGGAGGAUGCACCGAUGACAUCAUCAGGGGACAAGACCGACGCACCUAUGAAACACUCCAGUGAAGAACCAGGGGGCAAUGUCAAGAAAAAGAGUGGAGGCUCUUCCAGCGCUACUGAGCUGAGCACCGACACACGUCAAGUGAAAGAGGAGUUGUCUGGCAGUAAGAGCUCUACUCCAGUGGUGGAUUGCCCUCCUGUCAACACCGCCACACCUGCUAGCACUCCUCCUGUCAACACCGCCACACCUGCUGGCCCUCCUGUCAACACUGCCACACCUGCUGGCCCUCCUGUCAACACUGCCACACCUGCUGGCCCUCCUGUCAACACUGCCACACCUGCUGGCCCUCCUGUCAACACUGCCACACCUGCUGGCCCUCCAACUAUACCUACAGCCUCUCCAAACCCAUCCUCCCACCAGACACUGCCAGAAGACCAGGCCAAGGGUCCAUCGAAGGUAAACGGAGGUACACCAAUGAAUGAGCCAAACCAACUUAGUCCUACAUCAGUCACACAGGCCUCAUCCACACCCGAGACAGCUGAUCAGAACACAGGAGGACCUGCCUCAGACCCAACUCAACCAGCCAGUAAACUCUUUGAUGAGGAUGUCUUGAAGAGAACAUCAUAUGGGUCAAGGGAGACAUCAAAAAGCCUUGAUGGUGAAGGUAACACAGAGGUUAGAGUUCUGAAUGAACUGAAGACCUCUAGUAACCAGACCGACGAGAAUGUCACAAAUGAAGCAAACUCAAAGAAGUGUGUUGACCAAUCCCAAGUAUCUCUUGGUGAUCAGAAAGGUUCUGACCCAACAGAUGAGCCAAACACUAGUCAAACACAACCUGCUAGUCCAGCUCCCUCAGUUACACAGGAGGUGCCUAAGAAGACAUCUAAGAGAAAAGAUCAGAACAAAACAGAACCUGCCUCAGUUCCAAGUCAAUCAGUAGGGCAGUUGUCAUAUAAAGACGCUCUGGUGGGGACUUCUCAGGAGACGGGAGAUCUGUCCAGAAGGCAAGGGCUUGGCACCAGUAACCACAGAGACCAGAGCAGGAAAAAUGAAGCAAACUCACAGAACUUUGUUUUUGGAUCCCACAAGGCAGAGGUAAUGCAUAUAUUUCUAUUCUGUUAUUAUUCAGCAUGUGGAAUAAGCCUUUGGUCCCGUGUGGCUCAGUUGGUAGAGCAUGGUGUUUGCAACGCCAGGGUUGUGGGUUCGAUUCCCACGAGGGACCAGUACGGAGAAAAAAAUGUAUGCAUUCACUACUGUAAGUCGCUCUGGAUAAGAGCGUCUGCUAAAAUGACUAAAAUGUAAAAAUGAAUAAACUGCAUUUUUUUGUACUGUAACAUUCAUGCACUUAAUUAGGCUGGUGACAAGCCUCAAGAAUCAAGACAAGCGACUUCCAAGCCAAACAAGGAACCAGAGAAGCUGAGUAAUAUGGGUGGUGGUGGUGAUGCCUCCAAGUCAUCUACUAUUGACGCCCCACUUGCAGGGAAAGAUCUGCCUCCGAACCAACGCAAUCAAGACAGCUUCCAGCAUCAGCCACUGCCACCUCAGUUGUAAGUUCAGUAGAGUGAAUCAGUUCCAUCUUAUUUUUAAAUGUAUGUUUCCUGUCACAGUUUAAUCUUCACCAACCAGUAGUCCCAAUGCCAGUUGUAACACGUUUCCAUAUGAAGAAUUUUGUCAUUUUAUGUCUGCUUUGGCCAUGGGUAAAGCAACAUUGGGAAGGACAAGUGUAACUUUCCUGUACCCAGUGUUGGGAGGGAACAACCAUCUAACUAUCUUGAACCCAUUCUUUUUGGGGGUGCCAGAAUAUCAUAACAUUUAACAGCAGAAAAAGUUGAUCAUGUAAAUUGAAAUAAUUUUUGAAUGUUACCAUGAUCGAUUAGAUUCUGUUUCUGCUUGUCUUCCAAAAAGGCCACCAAGAACACAACAGGUCCCUGGGAGUGAUGACCUCACCAUCUAUUUCCAUGCCAUCAUUUCCAAAGACUUCAAACUGAACUCAACUGACCGGAUAUUCUUAAGAUCUGGAAGUCUUUUUGGAUCUUGGGACAUAGAUGGCCCAGAAAUGUCUGUUACGCGGUAUGGUCUUUAAUUCAAAUAAUAGAAUUGUGUGUAGAAGGAUAUUAGUAUACUCUGAAUAUAUUACUGAAAUACCCCACUGUCAAAAAAAAGUGUAACCUUUUUAACUGAUAACAAUUUCAAGAUGGAUGUUUAGACUAGUUGUACAUUAUCUUCAUUCAACUUAUAUCUACAUGAUAUUUAGUCACACAUAUUUUCUGUUGUUUACACAGAGAGUUGGGGAAAGAUAGAGUCCUUGUUGCAGGACGAAUGGUGGUUCCCGACAGGAGUAAGAUUGAAAUUCGCCCCAUACCCUAUAAAUAUUUUGUUUAUAGUAAGUGGAACGGGAAGCACUAUGAUCACGGUACAUUUGAGCACAUCUACCAGACAAACUCCAGGCAUAUUGUCAACAGGUGCCUGUCCAUCAAUCAAGAUCUUUUGACACAUGAAGGUACAGUUGAGUGUCUAAUACCAAAUACUGCACUUGCAAUUCCAACACAUUUUGUUGAGAUAAGGUUAGACCAGGGAUGGGCAACUGCCGGCCUGCGGCCCCUUUUGAAGUCCCUUGGAUACAUUUCCUAAACUUAUUUUGG
ensembl:lncRNA